CGCGUAGGCGGCUUGUACAGUCAGACGUGAAAUUCCUGGGCUCAACCUGGGGGCUGCGUUUGAUACGUGCGGGCUUGAGUUCGGAAGAGGGUCGCGGAAUUCCCAGUGUAGAGGUGAAAUUCGUAGAUAUUGGGAAGAACACCGGUGGCGAAGGCGGCGACCUGGUCCGAUACUGACGCUGAGGCGCGAAAGCGUGGGGAGCAAACAGGAUUAGAUACCCUGGUAGUCCACGCCGUAAACGAUGUGCGCUGGAUGUUGGGUGACAUAGUCAUUCAGUGUCGUAGCUAACGCGAUAAGCGCACCGCCUGGGGAGUACGGCCGCAAGGUUGAA
rnacentral:rRNA from 1 species